CACACUUCCAAAUAUUGCUUUAAGCAGCCAUUUUGUUUUCCACUUAAAAAUACUUCAUGAUACUCAACAGUCUUUAAAUACAUGGUGUAUAUUUCAGAAAAGACUCAAACCUUUUAAGAAGUAAUGAACUAUCUAUCAGAACAAUGUCAGUGUUACGGUAGUCCCCACCACCAAGUUUAAGAUGGACAAUUUAAUUAGGUAUCUGGGUGAUUCCUAUAUUUAAGUCACCCUGUGUCUAUUGUAGGUGCAAGAUGUGUGGUUGUUUGGGGUUAAAUGUUAAUGUGCUCUCCUGUCUUGCUAAUGCUUGCAAUCAACUUGGUGGAUUUGGCUGUGGAGCCUGUACAGCGACACCUGUUGGUUGCAAGCAUCCAGCAACAGCUGAAUGCAAUUAUGCGCUACCUGAAUAGCAAGGCUAGCUAAUUUUGAUACUUGGAUAGAUUUGCAUCUAGUUAAUUCUGCAGAUAGGAGAGAUAAUUUCUGUUAAUUAUUGUCUUUCCCACUCCUUUAUAAAUAUGUCAUUAUGUUAUUAAAGGUUGCUGUAUGUUGUCUAAUGUGAUUUGACUGUUUGUAUUUUUAUUGGGUUGUCACAGUAAUCUAUAUGUAAUAAACAUAUGGGCUACUCCCAAGAAAAAUAAAGUUUUGUAUGUUAAUUCCUUUUGGAACUUGUGUCCUGUGUGGAUUUGUAGGGAUCCCAGUGACAGAGUCUUCGGACCUGUUUGGUGGUUGCAGGAUCCCUCCAGCACUGGGAUAAAGCCAGAGAGCUAGGCCUGAGAGCCUCAAGUGUCUUUGUAAAGGCAAUAACUAUUAUCACAGUAAGCAGAGCUCCAGAGGAAUAGGCAGAGAGCAUGAUACCUGCCUGGAAGGCAAAGCUGCAAAGGAAUAAGCAGCCUGGAAGGAGAGCUGCCUGAAAGGAGGGCUGCAGCGGAAUAGGCAGUGGGGGUGAUACAGAGCUGCAGCCUGGUCGGGAGGAAAAGCUCCGGAGAGACCCCAGUCAACCUUUGGUGACUGAGGCUGAAGUUUUCCAGGGUCCCUGAAAGUGGCUAGGAAGUGGACUGGGCAGAGGUACUCGGUCGGAGUACAGGAGCUCCGUCACAGUCAGUAUUGAUCAUUUAUAUUAAAAAGUAUUUUAUCUGCCCUGGGUGAGAUAUAAGGGAGAUUUGCCACACUGAUGUUUUAUCUGUUGGAGGAAAUAAGGUUUUCUGAAAUUUCACGAUUAAUA